rnacentral:misc_RNA from 1 species
GUGAAUUGAAUAUGUUAGCGGACCUCUUCGAAGUCCCUAGCAUCAAAUCAUAUCCAUAACACCUGUGAACUGUAAGGCUGUCUUGAAAACGAAAGUGAUUAGAGCGCCUGCCCAUUUUAUACAAACAUUAAAGUAACAAACGUAGUCUUAUUAUAAUCUAAUA